UCGGAAAUCCGCCGUAGAGUACAAGGGCAGAAGGGUGCCUGACUGUGAGGCAGACAUGCCGAGCAGAGGCGAAAGCCGGGCCUAGUGACCCACCGGUUCCAUGGGGAAGGGCCGGUGAUCAGCGGAUAAAAGCUACUCCGGGGAUAACCUGUGUUGUCCCGCUCCCGGGCAACCGGGAGGCAAUAACGCGGCUUAUAACGGGGGAGCCCUCCUGCCCAAAAAGGGCGUGGGGUAAUCCCGUGGGAAGUCGGGAGAGGCACCAUGGUAACCAAACGCCAAAAAGAGUUGAUAAUAGGCACCCUUUUGGGUGAUGGAUACCUACAGUCAACGGGAAAGAGAAACGCACGGCUAAAGCUGGAGCAUUCGGAAAAGCAAAAAGAUUACAUCUUCUGGAAGUAUGAGGAGCUGAAAAACCUCAUGCAAGACAAGCCUAAGAAGAUAGAAAGGUAUAACCCUCUGUGGAAAAAGACCUACACCUACUACAGGUGCCAGAGCUAUUCCACACCUUUCUUGGGCAAGCUAAAGAGGCUCUUUUAUGACAACAAAGGUCGUAAAAGGGUGCCAGAGAAGAUAGGUAUGCUCCUGAAGGCUCCACUUUCCCUGGCGGUAUGGUAUAUGGAUGAUGGGCAUUACUAUCCAAAGGAUAGGGUAGCUUAUGUAUACCUACCAAAAUACUCCGACGAGGAGCUUAAAAGGCUUACGGAGGCUUUGGAAAACAACUUUGGCUUAAAACCAAAGGUUAUAUGGAAAAAAGGCUACCCUGUCCUAUACUUUCCAAGAGAAGAAACAGAAA
rnacentral:rRNA from 1 species